rnacentral:rRNA from 1 species
UGGCUCAGGAUGAACGCUAGCGGCAGGCUUAACACAUGCAAGUCGAGGGGCAGCGGGGAGGAAGCUUGCUUUCUCCGCCGGCGACCGGCGCACGGGUGAGUAACACGUAUGCAACCUGCCCCUGUCAGGGGGACAACCCGCCGAAAGGCGGGCUAAACCCGCGUACAUGCCACCGGGGCAUCCCGGAGGCAGGAAAGGCUUCGGCCGGACAGGGAUGGGCAUGCGGCGCAUUAGGCAGUAGGCGGGGUAACGGCCCACCUAACCGACGAUGCGUAGGGGUUCUGAGAGGAAGGUCCCCCACACUGGUACUGAGACACGGACCAGACUCCUACGGGAGGCAGCAGUGAGGAAUAUUGGUCAAUGGUCGGGAGACUGAACCAGCCAAGCCGCGUGAGGGAUGAAGGUACAGAGUAUCGUAAACCUCUUUUGUCAGGGAACAAAGGCGGGGACGUGUCCCCGGAUGAGUGUACCUGAAGAAAAAGCAUCGGCUAACUCCGUGCAGCAGCCGCGGUAAUACGGAGGAUGCGAGCGUUAUCCGGAUUUAUUGGGUUUAAAGGGUGCGCAGGCGGUCUGUUAAGUCAGCGGUCAAAGCCCGGGGCUCAACCCCGGCCCGCCGUUGAAACUGGCAGUCUCGAGUUGGAGAGAAGUAUGCGGAAUGCGCGGUGCAGCGGUGAAAUGCAUAGAUAUCGCGCAGAACUCCGAUUGCGAAGGCAGCAUGCCGGCUCCACACUGACGCUGAGGCACGAAAGCGUGGGUAUCGAACAGGAUUAGAUACCCUGGUAGUCCACGCAGUAAACGAUGAAUGCUGGCUGUCCGGGGGGACUGACCCCUGGGUGGCGAAGCGAAAGCGAUAAGCAUUCCACCUGGGGAGUACGCCGGCAACGGUGAAACUCAAAGGAAUUGACGGGGGCCCGCACAAGCGGAGGAACAUGUGGUUUAAUUCGAUGAUACGCGAGGAACCUUACCCGGGCUCAAACGGGGAGUGACUCAGGCAGAGACGCCUGUUUCCCACGGGACACUCCCCGAGGUGCUGCAUGGUUGUCGUCAGCUCGUGCCGUGAGGUGUCGGCUUAAGUGCCAUAACGAGCGCAACCCCCGCGUGCAGUUGCUAACAGUCAACGCUGAGGACUCUGCACGGACUGCCGGCGCAAGCCGCGAGGAAGGCGGGGAUGACGUCAAAUCAGCACGGCCCUUACGUCCGGGGCGACACACGUGUUACAAUGGGUGGUACAGCGGGAAGCCAGGCGGCGACGCCGAGCGGAACCCGAAAUCCACUCUCAGUUCGGAUCGGAGUCUGCAACCCGACUCCGUGAAGCUGGAUUCGCUAGUAAUCGCGCAUCAGCCAUGGCGCGGUGAAUACGUUCCCGGGUCUUGUACACACCGCCCGUCAAGCCAUGGGAGCCGAGGGCGCUUGAAGUGCGUCGCCGCGAGGCGCGCCCUAGAGCGAAAUCGGUGACUGGGGCUAAGUCGUAACAAGGUA